UACGUAGGGAGCAAGCGUUGUCCGGAAUUAUUGGGCGUAAAGAGCUCGUAGGCGGUUUGUCGCGUCGACUGUGAAAACCCGACGCUUAACCUCGGGCCUGCAGUCGAUACGGGCAGACUAGAGUUCGGUAGGGGAGACUGGAAUUCCUGGUGUAGCGGUGAAAUGCGCAGAUAUCAGGAGGAACACCGGUGGCGAAGGCGGGUCUCUGGGCCGAUACUGACGCUGAGGAGCGAAAGCGUGGGGAGCGAACAGG
rnacentral:rRNA from 1 species